GAGUGAUGGAUAACUAGGAUAAGUUCAGUUAAUGGGUUUUCUCCCUGGAAGGUGUUUAGUUGGGAUCAACGGUAGGAGGGAACUGUUGUAAAUAUUGAUGGCAAUUAGCUAUGCGAGGAGCUGAGUAGAAUUGGUUGUAUUUCAUUUUCACUUUUUUGCUCUCAAUUUUUCCCCCUUGAACUCCUUAUGGACCUGUUUGAUAAAUAAUUUGUAGACUGAA
rnacentral:misc_RNA from 1 species